rnacentral:rRNA from 1 species
GGGGGAGCUGUCGAAGGUGGGAUCGGCGAUUGGGACGAAGUCGUAACAAGGUAGCCGUACCGGAAGGUGCGGCUGGAUCACCUCCUUUCUAAGGAG